rnacentral:rRNA from 1 species
UACGGGGGGGCAAGCGUUGUUCGGAAUUACUGGGCGUAAAGGGCUCGUAGGUUGCCAACUAAGUCAGACGUGAAAUCCCUCAGCUUAACUGGGGAACUGCGUCUGAUACUGGAUGGCUUGAGUUUGGGAGAGGGAUGCGGAAUUCCAGGUGUAGCGGUGAAAUGCGUAGAUAUCUGGAGGAACACCGGUGGCGAAGGCGGCAUCCUGGACCAACACUGACACUGAGGAGCGAAAGCCAGGGGAGCAAACGGG